rnacentral:misc_RNA from 1 species
AUUAAUGUGAAAUGCAGACACAUUGAACAUCGAAUCUGAACGCACAUGCGGCCUCGGGCAAUCCCGAGGCCACGCCUGUCUCAGGGUCGGUUUAACAUAUCAAUCGUCGGUCGUCCUCAGAAUGCCGACGCAUUGGAUCGUCGUGGCGAGCGGGUGAAUGGUACCUUGACCGGGGUUCGAGCGGUGAUGUUUUGCGAGCAGAGCGAUUCAGCGUGCAUUCGCAAACGUCACCGUCUCGAGCUGCCUGCCGCCGCGUCGUCCGAAGAACAGACGGGACCGCCGCGUGACCACGCCGGCCGCACGUUCUAAGUCCGCCAGCCGGUGGACGGGGACGGCGACUCGGAAGUCGAAAUACGAUGUCUGCCGUCGCCCGUCGUGGCGGUACGGUCGGCGUCGGUCGCGCAAUGGACCCACGAAGCUCUGCGAACGCGUUAGUACGUCGGACUCUCGCGAGUCCGUUCGUGCGCGCGUUCAUAGACUUCGACCUGAGAUCAGACGAGAUUACCCGCUGAAUUUAAGCAUAU